ensembl:lncRNA
CUUGAUAUGAUUUUUAAUUUCCCAAAGCAGUUAAUGUGGGUACAGUGUAUGUAGGAUCAAACUCUUUACUGUACAUUGUGUAAUUCAUUGAGAACAAAAUGACAGUCAAUGGAAACCAAAAUCACCAACCAAUUGAGGGCUGGAUUCAAACUCACACUGAAAAUCAAUGUAAACAAACAAAAUCACAGGCUCUGCCAACUUACGUGAUUUUCAUCAUGGCAAACUCAUAAUGUGACUCAGUAGUGUGUAUGGCCCCCACGUGCCUGUAUGCACUCCCAACAAUGUCUGGGCAUGCUCCUGAUGAGACGGCAGAUGGUGUCCAGGGGAUCUCCUCCCAGACAUGGAUCAGGGCAUCAGUGAGCUCCUGGACAGUCUGUGGCGCUAUUUGGCGGCGUGGGAUGCAACAAUACAUAACGUCCCAGAGGUUCUGAAUUGGAUUCAUGUCUGGGGAACGUGAGGGCCAUCAAUACCCUCGUCAUCCAGGAACUGCCUACACACUCUAGCCACAUGAGGCCAGACAUUGUCCUGCACCAGUAGGAACCCAGGGCUCACUGCACCAGCGUAAGAUCUGACGAUGGGUCUGAGGAUGUCAUCCCGGUACCUAACAGCAGUCAGGGUACCGUUGACUAGCACAUGGAGGUCUGUGCAACCUCAUGUGAAAAGAAAAGGGCGCCAAUGGCCUGCUGCUGGGUUGAUGCCCUUCUACGGUCCUGUCCAGCUCUCCUCAUGAAACAGCCCAUGUCCUGGUAUCUCCUCCACGCUCUUGAGACUGUACUGGAAGACUGUACACAGCAAAACAUAUUACGACAUCACGUAUGAAUGUGCCAUUUAGGAGGAGCUAGACCACCUGUGCAACCUAAUGGGCUACAGGUACUGCCUCAUGCUACCAAUAGUGACAAGGACACUAGCAAGAUGCAAAACUAGAGAAUAAUUUGUCAGGAAGGAUAAGGAGAGAGCAAUUGUCUGUGGCCAUCACCUGCAAAACCAUUCCCUUUUUUGGGGGUUGUCUUGCUGUUGCCUCUCCAGUGCACCUGUUGUCACUUUCAUUUGCACCUAAAAAGGUCACAUUGAUUCACAAUUUUCAUUCUUCCUAAAUGGAGAGAUUGAUAUCCCUGAAGUUUAAUUGACUUGUUGUUAUACUGUGAUUACGUAUUCCCUUAAUGUUUUUUGAGCAGUGUAGUUCUAUUGUAUUUUGUAGACAGUCACAAGCAGAGAUUUAAAAUGUGAGAUCUGUGCAGUAAAUGUAUUCCUAAACUGGCACUAUUUGUCAUGAUGUUGGUAAUACUUUCCCAACAGGAGUCAUUCACCAAGGGAACAGUGUAUAUUAAACAUAUUUUGUUACUUCAGUCCCAAAGAAUAGUCCCAAAGAAACAUUAAUUCAGACCAAGCUAAUUAAUUCAGAGCAGAUUUCAUCCUUUGUCAUUUAGUGUCCAUAGGCUAAUUCGCUGGUCAUUGUGGCUGAAUAAUUAACCUUGGGAAUAUGUUGGCUUGACAGGCUCGUUGCAACCUGAAAAUUGGAAAGGGUAAGUCUGACAUGAUUCUGUUAAUGACUGAAUAAUUCCCCAACCAAUAAAAUGUCUCUCCCCUUUCUCACAGUCUCUAACCAUCUGUUACAUUGGGUCAAAAGCACUCCCUCAACAAGGAGGAUUUUAAACUGCUGAGCAUGGCUUAAUACCCUAUAUCUUCUUAGUUGAAUUGCCUCCAAUUGAGGAGGUCUUAAAGAAAUGGCGCAGGGAGAUGGAGUUACUGAAGAGGAGAGGGAGACUGUGGCUGAGGAGAUCUCCGAGGGGAUGGCUGAGGAGGAGGAUGCCUUGCUACACUUUAGCCGCUACGCAGACGCCCGCAGCUCUGUUCCCUGGGACCAGAAAACCCGCAGAGAGAAGAUUACCUACUACACAGACCGCUGCUUUCUCAUCUUCAUCACCCUCUUCCUCUUUGUGAUGUUUGGGGAGACUCUCUAUAAAAUAUGGUGGGUGUCCAACUGGGUAAAGAUCAAAGCCUUUUUCUUCAACAUUGCCGCGUACCUGUUUGCCCAGGAGGGUGGAGAGAAUAAGACUGAACUGUAGACCUAUGGUUUAGAACAAGAUUGCUGGAGAUGUUAAACACAUCCUCAUGACUAUGUACGGAUUAGCAUACUAGCCAUUAUUAUACUUUGACAUAAACUUUCAUUGUCUUUCUAUUUGUGGAAUGUGUGCAAAGAAAACUCCUAGUUGUGAUUUUAGUAGUUGUUUAAACUUCAGGAUUUUCAAUUACUUAAUAAACUCAAAAUCCAAUACUUUCAAAAGCCGAGCAAAACUUUAGAAACUUAAUAAUUAUUCUUGCACUUCCACUGCGACAACUACCAGAAAAUCUACCAACACCAGAAAUGUGCAGUCUGUUUUCAUGUUGCUUAAAUAAUAUACACUAUAACACUAUAAACACACCAUAUUUGCAUAAGCAAAUAACCAUAUUUGCAUAAGUUCUAAUGCAUUUCAAUGGCUAUUUAUUAAGUAAUUAUCUAUUUCUUAGCACUUUUAUUCUACUGAAUACCAUUUGGUAACAACAUGAACUAAUGUGCAGAUAUUGUGUUUGACUUAUUGAGAGUGAAUUCUUGCAUCUUCCUAAUCUCAGAGUUAUUAGUGCUGCAUAUGGCCAUAUCAUUAACAAAACAGCUUAUCUGAGCUAAAUUGGGGUGGGCUUACCCUGACCACAGAAUGGUGAACAGAUCCGGAGUUCAUUACAUAUAUUUAAGCCAGCUUAUUCUGGUUGGCUUGAUAAUUCCCCUCAAGUUAUUGCAUUACACCAUAUGUCAUUCUUAAACAGUCUCUUUAAGAUGCACAUUUGAGGGUGGGGGGUUUAUAGUAUUUUUUGUUCUCAUGUUCAUACCUUGGCCGCAGAAACAAUUCUAUUUUGGUAUUGAAUAGUGUGAACUGACACAGCAUUUUAAUGCUGCCAGCAUGUGAUUGUUUUCCUCUGUCUGUUGUGGAUUGUGUUCUCACCCGAAGCGAACCACACCACAGUAUGAAUGAAAUCAGAUUUAUGUGUAUUCUAUGUGCAUUGUGUAUUGAACAACUACUGCAAAACAUUUGGUGUGAAAGCCCCCCAAUACAGACACAUUCUCAAAGAUUUGUAUUAUUUCAGCCAGUAGUUCUGAGAUUAACGUUUUAGAAAUGAAAUGGGUCCUUACAAAGGCUGUACUAGGUCACUAUGUGCAGAAAUGUGUGCUACGUCAUUGCUCUCCCUGUGACCUUAUUGGAUAUCGCAGGGCAGUCCUGGGCCAGCUUUCUUUCACUAUGCAUCUUGCUAGUUGUUACUCUGAUGGUGAGGGGCUGAAGCUUAUUAGCUGAAAUGGAAUUGCUACUGUAGGUGGCUAGCAUAAGGAAGUUGAGUUUGUAGUACUCUAUGAUGAUAGCACUUUAAAAAACAAAGUUUAGUGAAAAUUGUUGCCUUCAAAUUACAGAAUUGUUAUUCAUUGAGGUAAACAGGGAUUCUGCUCAUAGAUUAUCUAUUCGUAGACACAUUCGGCUAAAAGAGGUUUAAAAAAAUAUAUACUUACGUAUUUGCCAACGUUCUUGAUAAUGUCUUUAAUCCCAUAUAUCUUCUUAGUGAGGUACCUUGACCUAGCUAAUCGGCCCAUGCAGCCAGUCUACUACAAGCUGCUCCAGAAGACACUUGAGCUCUGACACGAAGAAAACAAGCACACUGUAAAAGGCUUCUAUUAAGUUUUAAAAGAACCAUUCAAAGGAUAAUUUUUAAGCAGAAGACAAUUGGUGGACUACAAGCCAAGAGGUAUCAAGGUGACUUGGUUAAUAGAAUCAACUAAUAAAGGAAGGAAAAAAUGGCACAGGGAGACAGGGUUACUAAAGAUCAGAAGGAGAAUGCAAAGAAAGCUCUGGGGGAUGCGACCGAGGAGGAAAAAGCAUUGCUGGAGGCCAUGGGGUGGAUGAAUGGGGAGGACGAUGCAAUGCUAAAUGUAAUCCGCUAUACAGAGGCCCGCAAUGCCUUACCUUGGGAUCAGAAGACACGUCAGGAGAAGAUUACUUACUACAUUUACCGUUGGUUUUUCAUGUUCAUUAUUCUUUCUGUCCUCUUUUCACUAUUUAUGGUGUCUGGGGUGACUGUGGUAGGAGUCAAAAGGUGCUUGGUGACAGCUUGGCAUGAGAUUUCAUUGUUUUUCUUAGAAUUUGCCACAUACCUAUUUGCGCAGGAUGAAGGGGAGGAGAUGAUUGAACUGUAGGUGUAUGGGACAAUAUUAAACAACAUAUCCUCAUGAAAACUUCUGGAUCACCAGGCCAAAAAGGAUUAUUUAUUUUAUUUGUUUGGAAAAAUAUGUUUUUGUUUGUUAUUAAGGAAAUCAACUUUAUGUAAUCUGGAUAUGAUCUGAACUCCAUCAAUAAACAAAACUGUGUUCAUUCAUAAUUGGUUAUUAUUCUACUACAUUGUUAAGUGUAUCAGUUAUAGUUUAAUAAAAAAUAAAUAACAGAAGGGUCAAUACCAGAGACAGCAGUGGAUAUAAAAUGUGGUGUAAAAAAGGUUGUUGUACUAAAUUUAAUUUUUGCCGGACCGCGUAAGCGGAGUCUGCUAAGAAGAGCGAGUGACUCCAUUGAGGAUUGUGUUAAACUGACAAGCAUUUAUUAUUAAGUUUACCUCCACCCUAG